rnacentral:rRNA from 1 species
AGCGAACGCUGGCGGCAGGCUUAACACAUGCAAGUCGAGCGGGCGUAGCAAUACGUCAGCGGCAGACGGGUGAGUAACGCGUGGGAACAUACCUCUUGGUUCGGAACAACACAGGGAAACUUGUGCUAAUACCGGAUAAGCCCUUACGGGGAAAGAUUUAUCGCCGAGAGAUUGGCCCGCGUCUGAUUAGCUAGUUGGUGAGGUAACGGCUCACCAAGGCGACGAUCAGAGCUGGUCUGAGAGGAUGAUCAGCCACAUUGGGACUGAGACACGGCCCAAACUCCUACGGGAGGCAGCAGUGGGGAAUAUUGGACAAUGGGCGCAAGCCUGAUCCAGCCAUGCCGCGUGAGUGAUGAAGGCCCUAGGGUUGUAAAGCUCUUUUGUGCGGGAAGAUAAUGACGGUACCGCAAGAAUAAGCCCCGGCUAACUUCGUGCCAGCAGCCGCUGUAAU